UAAGUAGGCGGAGGAAAUGACACAAACAUGGAUUCACUGAGUAACUGCGAGUGACAUGUGAUUUGCUCACAGCUGAUAUUCUUUGCUGUCUGCUUUGACAUGAGGACUUUGAGUGCGGUGCCAAUGGUGGUGUAAGUGUGAGCCAUCUUAGAAAAGAGGAGAGUGUGCACUGACAAGGGUGAGAAGCCUGUGUGUGCUUGCAAAAUCUCCAUAUGGGGGUCACGCUUUGAGAAUCAUGCUCUUAAAGUGGGUGGUAGACUCUUCUCAAAGCUGAGUACAGAACUGGGACCGACAGGGAAGAAGUACCAUGAGGGAGGUGUGAAAAGGACUUUGGAAAGAGACUUAAAAGAGCCUGUACUUGCUGAAGGAUAUGCAUACAGCAUGCUUGCAUGUGAGAUGAUUGCUGUGUGUAUGAGUCUGACUUUGGCUGGAUGGCCAUGGCCGUGUGCCAUGGACACUUGGCCACCCAAUGUGUAUCCUCUUGUGUGUGCCAGCAUGUGGGAGACAGUCAGUGUUUGAGUGCAGUGGUUGCUGUGUCUGGGGAUACAUCAGAUGUGCACUCAAAGAUCUGAGCAUGUUGAGAAGCAGGUGCAGAAGGGCCCUCCUGUCUGUAUGACCCGUCUUGAAACACGGACCAAGGAGUCUAGCAUGAGUGCAAGCAUAUGGGACCGAAGGCUCUGUGUGCAAUGAAGGUGGAGUCCCAGAUUUGUGCAUGAGUGUUCGAACAAGCAGGAGGACAAGGUUUGAGUCUGAGCAUUCCUGACAGGACCCGAAAGAUGGUGAACUAUGCCCGGAAAGGGCCAAGUCAGGGGAAACUCUGGUGGAGGCUCGUAGCGUUACUGACGUGCAAAUCGUUCGUCACACCUGGGUAUGGGGGCGAAAGACUAAUCGAACCAUCUAGUAGCUGGUUCCCUCUGAAGUUUCCCUCAGGAUAGCUGAACUUGCAGGACUUUCACCAGGUAAAGCGAAUGAUUGGAGGAAUUGGGGGUUGCAGACCUUUGACCUAUUCUCAAACUUUUAAUGGGUGUGUUGUGUGGUUGCUUAGCUGAACCAACAGCUAAUGAUGACUCUUAGUGGGCCACUUUUGGUAAGCAGAACUGGCGAUGAGGGGUGAACCUGAUGAUGGGUUAAGGCACUGAAGUUCUUGCUCAUCAGAAACUGUAAAGGGUGUUGGCUCAUUCUGACAGCAGGUCGGUGGUCAUGGAAGUUGAAAUCCGCUUGGGAGUGU
rnacentral:rRNA from 1 species